rnacentral:rRNA from 1 species
UCACCUGUUCAUCAAUCAAAAUUAUGUCUAUUUUCCUUCUAAAACAAAGCCACUAUCAUUACUCACCUCAUCACCUAGCAACACCAAUCACACCACACAGGUUCAAUUCCAGCAGUCAAAACGUUGUCCAAAAACAGUCGAAACAUGAGCAGUUUCAAACAAGUUUUACCAAAAACGGGUAGUCGGCACCUCAGACACAUACCGGCCAUAUUUGUUCCAGCAAGCCACUUGAUGAGAACAAACAUCACACAAAGACUUUGGAAAGUGGAAAAAAAAGAUGAAAGAAAACAAAAGCAGCGAGGUCUGGAAUAAGAAUAGGAUACUGAGUGUUAGUGAGUUUUAUAAAAUAAAUCAUUAUGUAUUCGAGCCACGGACGCUUAGCAAUAAUAAUAGUGCAACACGGGGUGCACUCAGGGCUGCUCCAUACCUCUCUUUGUUAGCAGUUAAUAUUUUUCAGUCGGACAUUGAAUAAUUUGGAAGAACGAUAUUUUUCUCUUAUAAUUCGGUUCUAACCUUGUGUUGGCUGUAAAGAAAUUGUUAACUAUAGAUGGUAGAUUGUCUGUUAUAAAGUUUUAUCUCAGAAAGUGCUGUUUUGAUUUAUCACCUCCAGUCAGAGUGUAUCUGAGUGUCUCAUAAAAUGUGUCAUCUUAAAUCUUAAACUUAAAGGAAUUGACGGAAGGGCACCACCAGGAGUGGAGCCUGCGGCUUAAUUUGACUCAACACGGGAAAUCUCACCAGGCCCGGACACCGGAAGGAUUGACAGAUUAACAGCUCUUUCUUGAUUCGGUGGGUGGUGGUGCAUGGCCGUUCUUAGUUGGUGGAGCGAUUUGUCUGGUUAAUUCCGGUAACGAACGAGACUCUAGCCUGCUAAAUAGGCGUCGUCAUUUAGGUGUGCGUGGCUCCGUCACGCAACUCACUGGCGACGUAUUAAAAUUCUUCUUAGAGGGACCGGCGGCUUCGAGCCGCACGAGAUUGAGCAAUAACAGGUCUGUGAUGCCCUUAGAUGUCCUGGGCCGCACGCGCGCUACACUGAAGGAAUCAGCAUGUUCUCCCUGGCCUAGAGGCCCGGGCAACCCGCUGAAACUCCUUCGUGCUGGGGAUUGGGGUUUGCAAUUAUCCCCCAUAAACGAGGAAUUCCUAGUAAGCGCGAGUCAUAAGCUCGCGUUGAUUACGUCCCUGCCCUUUGUACACACCGCCCGUCGCUACUACCGAUUGAAUGAUUUAGUGAGGUCUUCGGACCGACACGCGGUGGCUUCACGGCCGUCGGCGUUGCUGGGAAGUUGACCAAACUUGAUCAUUUAGAGGAAGUAAAAGUCGUAACAAGGUUUCCGUAGGGGAACCUGCGGAAG